rnacentral:rRNA from 1 species
UACGGGGGGGGCAAGCGUUGUUCGGAAUUACUGGGCGUAAAGGGCUCGUAGGCGGCCAACUAAGUCAGACGUGAAAUCCCCGGGCUUAACCUGGGAAUUGCAUUUGUGACUGUACGGCUAGAGUGUGUCAGAGGGGGGUAGAAUUCCACGUGUAGCAGUGAAAUGCGUAGAGAUGUGGAGGAAUACCGAUGGCGAAGGCAGCCCCCUGGGAUAACACUGACGCUCAUGCACGAAAGCGUGGGGAGCAAACAGG